rnacentral:rRNA from 1 species
UGAGGGAGAAAGUUUAUUGAUAGUACCUCAAGAAUAAGGGGUUGCUAAACUCGUGCCAGCAGCAGCGGUAAUACGAGUGCCCCGAGCGUUAUCCGGAAUCAUUGGGCGUAAAGGGUGUGUAGGUGGCAGUGUUAGUCAGUCGUUAAAACCUGGGGCUUAACCCCAGAUGUGCGACUGAAACGGCACAGCUAGAGGAUGGCAGGGAUGUAUGGAACUCAUGGAGUAGGGGUGAAAUCCGUUGAUAUCAU